UACGUAGGGGGCGAGCGUUGUCCGGAAUCAUUGGGCGUAAAGAGCUCGUAGGCGGUUUCGUAAGUCGGCGGUGAAAGCUUGGGACUCAACCCCAAGAGGCCCGUUGAUACUACGAUGACUUGAGUCCGGUAGAGGAGUGUGGAACUCCUGGUGUAGCGGUGAAAUGCGCAGAUAUCAGGAAGAACACCGGUGGCGAAGGCGGCACUCUGGGCCGGUACUGACGCUGAGGAGCGAAAGCUAGGGGAGCAAACAGG
rnacentral:rRNA from 1 species